UAAUGAGCCCCCAGUGUGCUUGGGUCUGCUGUGACCCUGCAUUCCUACAGUGCUUGCCAGAACAAUUUGAAAUGGUUUGAGGCUUUAUCCUGCUCCAUCCAGGGUAAGGUUAUAGAAAUUUCAGACAAUG
rnacentral:snoRNA from 1 species